AAUGAACGCUGGCGGCACGCCUAACACAUGCAAGUCGAACGAGAUUGUGGAGCUUGCUCCAUAAUCUAGUGGCGGACGGGUGAGUAACGCGUGGGAAUCUACCUUUCGGUGGGGGAUAACUCCUGGAAACAGGGGCUAAUACCGCAUACACUCUACGGAGAAAAGAUUUAUUGCCGAAAGAUGAUCCUGCGUUGGAUUAGCUAGUUGGUGAGGUAAAGGCUCACCAAGGCGACGAUCCAUAGCUGGUCUGAGAGGAUGAUCAGCCACAUUGGGACUGAGACACGGCCCAGACUCCUACGGGAGGCAGCAGUAAGGAAUAUUGGACAAUGGGGGGAACCCUGAUCCAGCG
rnacentral:rRNA from 1 species